rnacentral:rRNA from 1 species
CUUAACACAUGCAAGUCCCUUGGAAAGGCCCUGCUUUUGUGGGGUGCUCGAGUGGCGAACGGGUGAGUAACACGUGAGUAACCUGCCCUUGACUUUGGGAUAACUUCAGGAAACUGGGGCUAAUACCGGAUAGGAGCUCCUGCUGCAUGGUGGGGGUUGGAAAGUUUCGGCGGUUGGGGAUGGACUCGCGGCUUAUCAGCUUGUUGGUGGGGUAGUGGCUUACCAAGGCUUUGACGGGUAGCCGGCCUGAGAGGGUGACCGGCCACAUUGGGACUGAGAUACGGCCCAGACUCCUACGGGAGGCAGCAGUGGGGAAUAUUGCACAAUGGGCGGAAGCCUGAUGCAGCAACGCCGCGUGCGGGAUGACGGCCUUCGGGUUGUAAACCGCUUUCGCCUGUGACGAAGCGUGAGUGACGGUAAUGGGUAAAGAAGCACCGGCUAACUACGUGCCAGCAGCCGCGGUGAUACGUAGGGUGCGAGCGUUGUCCGGAUUUAUUGGGCGUAAAGGGCUCGUAGGUGGUUGAUCGCGUCGGAAGUGUAAUCUUGGGGCUUAACCCUGAGCGUGCUUUCGAUACGGGUUGACUUGAGGAAGGUAGGGGAGAAUGGAAUUCCUGGUGGAGCGGUGGAAUGCGCAGAUAUCAGGAGGAACACCAGUGGCGAAGGCGGUUCUCUGGGCCUUUCCUGACGCUGAGGAGCGAAAGCGUGNGGAGCGAACAGGCUUAGAUACCCUGGUAGUCCACGCUGUAAACGGUGGGUACUAGGUGUGGGGUCCAUUCCACGGGUUCCGUGCCGUAGCUAACGCUUUAAGUACCCCGCCUGGGGAGUACGGCCGCAGGGCUAAAACUCAAAGGAACUGACGGGGCCCCGCACAAGCGGCGGAGCAUGCGGAUUAAUUCGAUGCAACGCGUAGAACCUUACCUGGGUUUGACAUGGAUCGGGAGUGCUCAGAGAUGGGUGUGCCUCUUUUGGGGUCGGUUCACAGGUGGUGCAUGGCUGUCGUCAGCUCGUGUCGUGAGAUGUUGGGUUAAGUCCCGCAACGAGCGCAACCCUUGUUCACUGUUGCCAGCACGUUAUGGUGGGGACUCAGUGGAGACCGCCGGGGUCAACUCGGAGGAAGGUGGGGAUGACGUCAAGUCAUCAUGCCCCUUAUGUCCAGGGCUUCACGCAUGCUACAAUGGCUGGUACAGAGAGUGGCGAGCCUGUGAGGGUGAGCGAAUCUCGGAAAGCCGGUCUCAGUUCGGAUUGGGGUCUGCAACUCGACCUCAUGAAGUCGGAGUCGCUAGUAAUCGCAGAUCAGCAACGCUGCGGUGAAUACGUUCCCGGGGCUUGUACACACCGCCCGUCAAGUCAUGAAAGUUGGUAACACCCGAAGCCGGUGGCCUAACCGUUGUGGGGGAGCCGUCGAAGGUGGGACUGGU